GGCCGGGGUGGGACUUGUGCUGCAGUGGCUGGCGAUGGCUUAAUAGUGCUGAGACUUCACCCCUGAACCCCCGGGAGGCCCUGGACUUGCCUUUCAUUCCCUGCCGCAGCUGCCUAGGGCGGUGCUGAAGGUAGAGGAAGGGCUGCCUGGCGGGAGGAGGCCGAGGGCGUGGAGGGAGCCUGGCGCUGGGGUGGGAGUUGUCAGUGGGCCUGGGUUGCGGGUGGUGGCUGCACAGGACGUGGGCGGGGUGUUCUGGUCUGCUGAGUGGCAUGAGAGCAAGAGUGGAGUUGGGGAGCCUGGGCUGCACCCCGGCAGGUCUGCUGCCUCGCCAGGGAUUUGCUGUCUCCAGGGUGCCUCGAGGCCACAGGGGCUGGGGGUGACCCCUGGUUUUCUGAGCCUCAGUUUCCUCAUUGGUGAAGAGUGUCGCCUUUGUCAUACUUACCCCGUGGGGCGCACGUGGAAUUAAAGCCUGGACACGCUGCCCACCCCUAGGCAGUGGGCCCUUCGCACAGACCACGUCCAUCUGCGAGCUGGGGCGGCGGUCCCGGCUUCCCGGUCCAGGUCGAGGGGCAUGAGGUCACCGGCUGCCUCGCAAUGAAAUCUCCCCUUUCACGCCCUGAGCCUGUACUAGCUCUCGGGAGCUUGCACAGAAAUGACUGACCUCCGCCUGGCGUCCUGGCCACGUCCCUGGAGCCUCCGGGUUCUGGAAGGACACAUCCCUCCAGACUCUCGGAGUAUCGGCUGGGUUUGUUGCCUGAAAGCGAAGUCCAGCUGUCGGGCUGCCUUUGACCUGGGCAGCAGCGACGCUGACCACAGCCUCGUCACUUCAGCGGCGGGGGGAGGGGGUGGCAGCGGCACAGACAGGCCGCUGGGCAGGGACGCAGCCCCGUGCGCUU